AGAUGCGGAGAUAUACCGCGCGGUAUACUUACUCGCAAAUCUUCCAGAGCAAUCUGUAUUCGAGCAAGAAACAUAAGCAAAUCAGCGUUCAUGAAUACGAAGCUUCGUUCUAACUUGUUGAAAUAUCAUAAUAUAUUCGAGUCGCGUACCUUCAUUCCACACUCCAUGGCCGAUAAGUCAGCAAAUGGAACUUCUCGUGUCGCAAGUUCCCAAAGUAAGACCGCGAAACUCCACAUAUCGCUCGCUUCGAGGUUUAUAUCGGCAGGACGUUUGCUCAACGCUUCCGGUGACAUCCAGGCUGGUUCGUAAAUACGUCCGACUUCUUGGAAGGAGAACUUUGAGUCAGCCAUGUUAACGCGAGCGGUCAAAUCUUCGUCGAUCUGAAACGAAACGAAACGUUGGUGAAGAAGUAUGAUCUUGGAGAAAAAUCAACGAACCAUAACGUGUUUGCUGUUGAGAUGAAAACGACAACGAUUUUGUCGUUCAAGACCGUGCAAGAAAGCCAUCGCUCGUGCAACAUCGAGAGCGAGUCUG